rnacentral:antisense_RNA from 1 species
AUUUUUUCUUUCAAAAUCAGUACACCCAGGUUGG